UGUAACCCCAGUAAAGAACUCCCAUCCCUGCCCAUAAUAGUCCCUCUGCGGUCCUGUCAGACUCAGAGAUGAUUGGCUGUAGAGCUUCGAGACGAAUGAGGGGAGAGUGACAGGUGGUGGAAGACAGACUUCAACUCUGUGAAAAGGGAAGAUAUGGACAGAGGAGAUUGCAAAGGUCUUUCAUUUGGACGGUUUUGAAACAUGCCUCACUGGAUUCUUCUCUGAAAGUAAUGGAAGGAAAGGACCUAGGUUUUGGGGACUGAGCUGUUUGGUUUGGAGCCACAUCUGUCGGGUCAGCAGGUCCAUCGCAGCUCUUUUUUCAGUCGGUCUUGAAAAACAUGAGGGAUGAAAGCUGCACGUCAAAGAAACAGACUUUCUCCGAGGUGUCAAAUGUCUUUAAGGUAGUGAUGGCACUUCAGUUGUGCUGCGUCUUCAGUUUCUGAGCCGUGCCAGAUGCUGGGGUGGAAACAUGUACAUAACAACCAACUGCUUCCUUUUAAUAAGAACAUUACUUUUACCCUAAAUGCCUCCUCCAUUAACUGAUCCAUAUUUUUAUACAGUUAUGGCUUUUUGAAGUGAUUUUGCUUAAUGGAAUCACAAAAUACGAAUAC